rnacentral:tRNA from 1 species
GCCCGGGUGGCUCAGUGGUUGAGCACCUGCCUUCGGCUCAGGGCGUGACCCCGGGGUCCUGGGAUCGAGUCCCGCAUCGGGCU